AUUGAACGCUGGCGGCAGGCCUAACACAUGCAAGUCGAACGGUAACAGGAAACAGCUUGCUGUUUCGCUGACGAGUGGCGGACGGGUGAGUAAUGCCUGGGAAACUGCCUGAUGGAGGGGGAUAACUACUGAAAACGGUAGCUAAUACCGCAUAACGUCGCAAGACCAAAGAGGGGGACCUUCGGGCCUCUUGCCAUCGGAUGUGCCCAGAUGGGAUUAGCUAGUAGGUGGGGUAACGGCUCACCUAGGCGACGAUCCCUAGCUGGUCUGAGAGGAUGACCAGCCACACUGGAACUGAGACACGGUCCAGACUCCUACGGGAGGCAGCAGUGGGGAAUAUUGCACAAUGGGCGCAAGCCUGAUGCAGCCAUGCCGCGUGUAUGAAGAAGGCCUUCGGGUUGUAAAGUACUUUCAGCGGGGAGGAAGGGAGUAAAGUUAAUACCUUUGCUCAUUGACGUUACCCGCAGAAGAAGCACCGGCUAACUCCGUG
rnacentral:rRNA from 1 species